CCUGAAUCAGUGUGUGUGUUAGUGGAAGCGUCUGGAAAGGCGCGCGAUACAGGGUGACAGCCCCGUACACAAAAAUGCACAUGCUGUGAGCUCGAUGAGUAGGGCGGGACACGUGGUAUCCUGUCUGAAUAUGGGGGGACCAUCCUCCAAGGCUAAAUACUCCUGACUGACCGAUAGUGAACCAGUACCGUGAGGGAAAGGCGAAAAGAACCCCGGCGAGGGGAGUGAAAAAGAACCUGAAACCGUGUACGUACAAGCAGUGGGAGCACGCUUAGGCGUGUGACUGCGUACCUUUUGUAUAAUGGGUCAGCGACUUAUAUUCUGUAGCAAGGUUAACCGAAUAGGGGAGCCGAAGGGAAACCGAGUCUUAACUGGGCGUUAAGUUGCAGGGUAUAGACCCGAAACCCGGUGAUCUAGCCAUGGGCAGGUUGAAGGUUGGGUAACACUAACUGGAGGACCGAACCGACUAAUGUUGAAAAAUUAGCGGAUGACUUGUGGCUGGGGGUGAAAGGCCAAUCAAACCGGGAGAUAGCUGGUUCUCCCCGAAAGCUAUUUAGGUAGCGCCUCGUGAAUUCAUCUCCGGGGGUAGAGCACUGUUUCGGCAAGGGGGUCAUCCCGACUUACCAACCCGAUGCAAACUGCGAAUACCGGAGAAUGUUAUCACGGGAGACACACGGCGGGUGCUAACGUCCGUCGUGAAGAGGGAAACAACCCAGACCGCCAGCUAAGGUCCCAAAGUCAUGGUUAAGUGGGAAACGAUGUGGGAAGGCCCAGACAGCCAGGAUGUUGGCUUAGAAGCAGCCAUCAUUUAAAGAAAGCGUAAUAGCUCACUGGUCGAGUCGGCCUGCGCGGAAGAUGUAACGGGGCUAAACCAUGCACCGAAGCUGCGGC
rnacentral:rRNA from 1 species